rnacentral:rRNA from 1 species
CAAUAGCGUAUAUUAAAGUUGUUGCAGUUAGAACGCUCGUAGUCGGAUUUCGGGGCGGGCCGACCGGUCUGCCGAUGGGUAUGCACUGGUCGGCGCGUCCUUCCUUCCGGAGACCGUCCCUACUCUUAACUGAGCGGGGGCGGGAGACGGGACUUUUACUUUGAAAAAAUCAGAGUGUUUCAAGCAGGCAGCUCGCUCUUGCAUGGAUUAGCAUGGGAUAAUGAAAUAGGACUUUGGUGCUAUUUUGUUGGUUUCGAACACCGAAGUAAUGAUGAGAAGGGACAGUCAGGGGCACUCGUAUUCCGCCGAGAGAGGUGAAAUUCUCAGACCAGCGGAAGACGGACCACUGCGAAAGCAUUUGCCAGGGAUGUUUUCACUGA